rnacentral:rRNA from 1 species
AACGUAGGACGCAAGCGUUGUUCGGAAUUACUGGGCGUAAAGGGCGCGUAGGCGGUUCGCUAAGUCGGAUGUGAAAACUCUGGGCUCAACCCAGAGCCUGCAUCCGAAACUGGCGGGCUAGAGUUCUGGAGGGGGUAGCGGAAUUCCUGGUGUAGCGGUGAAAUGCGUAGAUAUCAGGAGGAACACCGGUGGCGAAGGCGGCUACCUGGACAGAAACUGACGCUGAGGCGCGAAAGCUAGGGGAGCGAACAGG